AACAAAUUCAAUUUGGUAGCUUGUUUGUGGAUAUUUACUUUCAAUUAAUAUGGACAAAUUCAAGACGAGCCAAUGAUACACACACCAUAGAAAGCUGUAAACUUGUUUUAUUGGCACUUCUCUGCUGUAUACUGGCACUGCUCGGCAAGGAGCAAUGGACAAGGCAGGCAGGCAGGAGUUUACUUUAACAAGGAUAUUUCGCCGCACAAUCUACUUGGCAAUUACUUGGCUUGGCAGGUGGUCUUUGCGGCGUAUUGGCUGUGUUGGGCGGUGGGUGC